rnacentral:rRNA from 1 species
GAUGAACGCUGGCGGCGUGCCUAAUACAUGCAAGUCGAGCGAACAGACGAGGAGCUUGCUCCUCUGACGUUAGCGGCGGACGGGUGAGUAACACGUGGAUAACCUACCUAUAAGACUGGGAUAACUUCGGGAAACCGGAGCUAAUACCGGAUAAUAUAUUGAACCGCAUGGUUCAAUAGUGAAAGACGGUUUUGCUGUCACUUAUAGAUGGAUCCGCGCCGCAUUAGCUAGUUGGGAAGGUAACGGCUUACCAAGGCAACGAUGCGUAGCCGACCUGAGAGGGUGAUCGGCCACACUGGAACUGAGACACGGUCCAGACUCCUAAGGGAGGCAGCAGUAGGGAAUCUUCCGCAAUGGGCGAAAGCCUGACGGAGCAACGCCGCGUGAGUUAUGAAGGUCUUCGGAUCGUAAAAUUCUGUUAUUAGGGAAGAACAAAUGUGUAAGUAAAUAUGCACGUCUUGACGGUACCUAAUCAGAAAGCCACGGCUAACUACGUG